rnacentral:rRNA from 1 species
GCUAAUACAUGCAAGUCGAGCGGACAGAUGGGAGCUUGCUCCCUGAUGUUAGCGGCGGACGGGUGAGUAACACGUGGGUAACCUGCCUGUAAGACUGGGAUAACUCCGGGAAACCGGGGCUAAUACCGGAUGGUUGUUUGAACCGCAUGGUUCAGACAUAAAAGGUGGCUUCGGCUACCACUUACAGAUGGACCCGCGGCGCAUUAGCUAGUUGGUGAGGUAACGGCUCACCAAGGCGACGAUGCGUAGCCGACCUGAGAGGGUGAUCGGCCACACUGGGACUGAGACACGGCCCAGACUCCUACGGGAGGCAGCAGUAGGGAAUCUUCCGCAAUGGACGAAAGUCUGACGGAGCAACGCCGCGUGAGUGAUGAAGGUUUUCGGAUCGUAAAGCUCUGUUGUUAGGGAAGAACAAGUGCCGUUCAAAUAGGGCGGCACCUUGACGGUACCUAACCAGAAAGCCACGGCUAACUACGUGCCAGCAGCCGCGGUAAUACAAU